CCUACGGGUGGCUGCAGUGAGGAAUAUUGGUCAAUGGGCGCAAGCCUGAACCAGCCAUGCCGCGUGCGGGAAGAAGGCGCUACGCGUCGUAAACCGCUUUUGUCUGGGGGUAACCGCAGGGACGUGUCCCUGCCUGCAAGUACCAGACGAAUAAGGGUCGGCUAACUCCGUGCCAGCCGCCGCGGUAAUACGGAGGACCCAAGCGUUAUCCGGUUUCAUUGGGUUUAAGGCGGCCGUAUGCGGCCGCGGUGAAAGGCUCCUGCUCCACAGGAGAGCUGCCGUUGAUACUGCUGGGCUAGAAUCUUAGCGAGGCGGGCGGAAUGCGCGGUGUAGCGGUGAAAUGCAUAGAUAUCGCGCAGAACGCCGAUUGGGGAGCCAGCUCGCCAGCUGAGUAUUGACGCUGAGGCACGAAAGCGUGGGGAUCAAACAGGAUUAGAUACCCCUGUAGUC
rnacentral:rRNA from 1 species